rnacentral:rRNA from 1 species
UACGUCCUACGGGAGGCAGCAGUGGGGAAUAUUGCGCAAUGGACGAAAGUCUGACGCAGCGAAGCCGCGUGAGGGAUGAAGGUUUUCGGAUCGUAAACCUCUGUCAGGAGGGAAGAAAGCGCAUGGCGCCAAUCAGCCAUGCGUUGACGGUACCUCCAAAGGAAGCGCCGGCUAACUCCGUGCCAGCAGCCGCGGUAAUACGGAGGAUGCGAGCGUUAUCCGGAUUUAUUGGGUUUAAAGGGUGCGCAGGCGGAGGUGCAAGUCAGCGGUCAAAUUGCGGGGCUCAACCCCGUACUGCCGUUGAA